UACAGAGGGUGCAAGCGUUAAUCGGAAUUACUGGGCGUAAAGCGUGCGUAGACGGUUAUUUAAGUCAGGUGUGAAAGCCCCGGGCUCAACCUGGGAAUUGCAUUUGAGACUGAAUAGCUAGGGUGCGGAAGAGGGAAGCGGAAUUUCCGGUGUAGCGGUGAAAUGCGUAGAUAUCGGAAGGAACACCAGUGGCGAAGGCGGCUCACUGGUCCGGUACUGACGCUGAGGUGCGAAAGCGUGGGGAGCAAACAGGG
rnacentral:rRNA from 1 species